rnacentral:rRNA from 1 species
UACGGAGGGUGCGAGCGUUGUCCGGAAUUAUUGGGCGUAAAGCGUGUGUAGGCGGCCAUGUAAGUCGGGUGUGAAAGCCCUGGGCUUAACCCAGGAAGUGCACUCGAUACUGCGUGGCUUGAGUAUCGGAGAGGUUGGUGGAAUUCUCGGUGUAGAGGUGAAAUUCGUAGAUAUCGAGAGGAACACCGGUGGCGAAGGCGGCCAACUGGACGAAUACUGACGCUGAGACACGAAAGCGUGGGGAGCAAACAGG